rnacentral:rRNA from 1 species
GACGAACGCUGGCGGCGUGCUUAACACAUGCAAGUCGAACGGAAAGGCCCUGCUUUUGUGGGGUGCUCGAGUGGCGAACGGGUGAGUAACACGUGAGUAACCUGCCCUUGACUUUGGGAUAACUUCAGGAAACUGGGGCUAAUACCGGAUAGGAGCUCCUGCUGCAUGGUGGGGGUUGGAAAGUUUCGGCGGUUGGGGAUGGACUGGCGGCUUAUCAGCUUGUUGGUGGGGUAGUGGCUUACCAAGGCUUUGACGGGUAGCCGGCCUGAGAGGGUGACCGGCCACAUUGGGACUGAGAUACGGCCCAGACUCCUACGGGAGGCAGCAGUGGGGAAUAUUGCACAAUGGGCGGAAGCCUGAUGCAGCAACGCCGCGUGUGGGAUGACGGCCUUCGGGUUGUAAACCGCUUUCGCCUGUGACGAAGCGUGAGUGACGGUAAUGGGUAAAGAAGCACCGGCUAACUACGUG